UACGUAGGGUGCAAGCGUUAAUCGGAAUUACUGGGCGUAAAGCGUGCGCAGGCGGUUCUAUAAGACAGAUGUGAAAUCCCCGGGCUCAACCUGGGAACUGCAUUUGUGACUGUAGAGCUGGAGUGCGGCAGAGGGGGAUGGAAUUCCGCGUGUAGCAGUGAAAUGCGUAGAUAUCUGGAGGAACACCGGUGGCGAAGGCGGCAUCCUGGACCAACACUGACGCUGAGGAGCGAAAGCCAGGGGAGCAAACGGG
rnacentral:rRNA from 1 species